UGGCCGUAAACGAUGUGGACUUGGUGUUGGAAUGGCUCCGAGCUGCUCCAGUGCCGAAGGGAAGCUGUUAAGUCCACCGCCUGGGAAGUACGGUCGCAAGGCUGAAACUUAAAGGAAUUGGCGGGGGGAGCACCACAACGGGUGGAGCCUGCGGUUUAAUUGGACUCAACGCCGGGAAGCUCACCGGAUAAGACAGCGGAAUGAUUGCCGGGCUGAAGACCCUGCAUGACCAGCUGAGAGGUGGUGCAUGGCGUAGUCGUGU
rnacentral:rRNA from 1 species